rnacentral:rRNA from 1 species
UACGUAGGGUGCGAGCGUUGUCCGGAAUUAUUGGGCGUAAAGAGCUUGUAGGCGGUUUGUCGCGUCUGCUGUGAAAUCUCAAGGCUCAACCUUGAGCUUGCAGUGGGUACGGGCAGACUAGAGUGUGGUAGGGGAGACUGGAAUUCCUGGUGUAGCGGUGAAAUGCGCAGAUAUCAGGAGGAACACCAACGGCGAAGGCAGCACUCUGGGCUGGAACUGACGCUGAGGAGCGAAAGCGUGGGUAGCAAACAGG